UGCAACCCGUAGGUGGCGCUAUUCACUUUGUUUUGUCAAAGAAAAGGAACUGAAGCUCCUGAUUGACGGCUUGCCAUCCAGUAGCCUACAUGAAGCGGAAGGUUUCCACCAAUCACGGUAAAUCACAGGCUGUGUUCUCCGCAAAUCACUGCGCGUCCUCCGUGUGUACAUUAUCCUCAUUGGGUCUGGCGCUGUUCAGCUGAGUUGACCAGGAAGAAGUCCGUCUCUCAGUUCGCUGUGUGUGUGUGUGUUUACAAUUUCUAAACUGCCAAGCGUGACUGAAUUUAAGAAGACACAUGGAGCUGUGUUUGUCCCGGGAUUAUUUCAGUGGCUCUUGUCUCCUCGACGAGCGUGCAGUUUGAGGAUGGCGUAUUAAUGAAGGAUUACAUGACGAUGAUGAUGCAUAUGGUCGUGCUGUGUUUCACGCUGGCGAUUUCAUUAAUGUUCUGGGUCCUGUCCCUGACUGCCAGCACAUACUACGGCACUCUGCAGCCAGUUUCCCCAUGGCGGUGGCUGUUCUCAGUGCUGAUCCCACUCUUCAUCACGUUUCGAGCCUUUAAACGCAAGAGUCUUGAUCAUGGCGGUGCCAUAGGAGGUGAGGAAUAGGUUUUCAACAUAUGAGUUCCAAUGGCCCUAUGGGGUUGUUUUAAUUCGUACAGUCCUUUAGGUGUCCACCAACAACCACAGGUUUCUUCAUACAAACACACAUUUUGGGGAAUUUUCUGUAAUUUUUGCAAAACCACAGGCUUCCAAAUUUUUUUUGCUGUCGGCUUUGUGUAAGAUUCAACCUUUAAAGCCUUAAUUUCUUCUGCUUUUUAUUUGAAAAUACAAUUUUACAGCUCCCCUACUGUUUAACAGUUGAGUUUAACCAUUUCUUAAUUCGUUUAUCUGAUCUCCAGUUCUGGCGG
rnacentral:lncRNA from 1 species